AUACGGAGGAUCCGAGCGUUAUCCGGAUUUAUUGGGUUUAAAGGGUGCGCAGGCGGCCAUUUAAGUCAGCGGUUAAAUCGUGGGGCUCAACCCCAUUCUGCCGUUGAUACUGGGUGGCUUGAUUGCGGUCGAGGUUGGCGGAAUUCGUUGUGUAGCGGUGAAAUGCAUAGAUAUGACGAAGAACACCGAUUGCGUAGGCAGCUGACCAGACCGCAAAUGACGCUCAUGCACGAAAGUGCGUGGAUCGAACAGGAUUAGAUACCCUGGUAGUCCGCACAGUAAACGAUGAAUACUUGUUUUCGGCGAUAUAAUGUCGGAGGCAAAGCGAAAGCGAUAAGUAUUCCACCUGGGGAGUACGCCGGCAACGGUGAAGCUUAAAGGAAUUGACGGGG
rnacentral:rRNA from 1 species